UACAUUGAGCACCAUCCACAAAUGAUGAAUUUGUAUAUUUUUCUACCAGACAAACCCUUAUUUCUAGAAGGAACCAUCAAGACUCCCUACUCCAUCACUCCACAAGAUCCACUUGUCAUUACAGAAUCACAUGCCUAGCGUGCAGAAUGUUUCACAGCCCCAACCAUAUUAAUCCUACCCAAUAUAGUUCAAAAAGUUUGCGACUACUGUGAGGAACAAUUUUCCAGGCUAAUCAAACAAACUACAGCUUUAAGCCCAGUGUGCGAAAGGAUGAGCCAAUACAGCUCAAAUAUAAUAAACAUUCUAAACCACAUAGCUCUAUCAUCUUCAAAUUCUUCUUAUCCAACUAUUGCUAUCUGCCAUUGGCUAUGACAUCUAAAUUUUACUGCCCACCCCAAUCUUUUCCUCUCCUCUCGAGGCAGGGAUACCUGCAUCUCUUUUUAGUACUGGUCAUGUGUCAUGCAGCUCAUGCCAGAAUUUUUACUCACAUUGAAAAGAGAAAACAGAAGAGGUAGGAGGAGAAAAGACAGGGUAGUAUGGACCUGACUAGACAUGAGUCAGGAAGCUAUUGUUGUUACUUCCAUAAAAGAUUGACUAGAGCCACUCAAAUUGAAACUUGCACUUUCCAAAACUAUCUUAUUUCCAUGAUCAAAAUUAAACCUCAACUGGUUCAGUGAAAAUAUCAAAAUGAAUGCAAUUUUAAUUGUUUAACCUCAUUCUAAUCUGUAGUUUCAGAGAAUUUUCAGAUUUUAUCAUAUGAGCCCAUUAAGCAGAACAGAUAAAUCUUAAUUUUAUAUCCAAGAAAAUAUCAUAUCAUGCAGAGUAAACAAGCCUAGCUCAAUCAAAAGUCCUAAGAAUAGCAUAUCAAACAAAAACAAAAAGCACGAAAGGACCAAACAACAAAGAAUAGUCAGAUGAGGGAGUGUGCCUAAGCAUGUAGGAGAAAGAGACAAAAACAGGUAGACCAAAGCAGAUAACAGUACUCAAAC
rnacentral:lncRNA from 1 species